AUGGUAGACCAUGUUGGUUACAGCCCUUAGCUACCAGAGAUCCAUGACGUUUGGGGGUUUGCCCAUGAUAGUGUUUUCCAAAGUAAAACACGUAGUGUGGGUGUAAGUAUCCAAAGGCUUGUAGUAACUUUUGUUGAAGGAGCAUUAAAGAUAAUUCAGAUGGCACAUAAAUUAUUAAUAAUGAUUUAAGUUUGAAGUUAUACAUUGACUACCCAUCAGGAUAUUUGAUGAGAAUAUUUUUUUAAAGAACAUAAAGCUUUUGAAAUGAUGGUAAUGGAAACAUAUAUAUAUAGAAUAACUUAUGACCACCACCUACAACCCUAUAAAAUUGUGUAUUGUUUGUUUGUAUGUUUUAAGUCUGUCAGAUUGUUUCUCUGUCCUGCUUCUAUCUUUGAGAUCUUUAAUACAAUGUGUUCUACCUUAUAGCUCAAAUAACCAGUAAAGGUGUCCUAAAAGUAGAAUAACUCUAGACUUGAAAGAUUUCAUAAGGUAUUUUCUUUUUCCUUACAAUGAAGUAUUGUGUUAUCAUGAGGACCCAAGGUGCUCUGUAAACUGUAAAGUUCUAGGCAGAUAUGAGGUAUCAAUAUUAUUAGGUCAAUCUAAAUUGUUAAGCUUUAGAGAUGCAUCCUUAAUCCCAAGAGUCUAAAUUGCCCACUUUAUGUUUCCCAAAAAAGGGGUACCUUAAUUAUUCAAAUGAUAUGUCAAUUGUCCAUGAAGAGAAAUACUGAAUCAUAUGCAGAAGGCCUAGGGAAAUUGGGACAUCUUAAAUACAAAAAUGGUGAAUUGGAAGAUACACUGGCUAUUAUCUGUCCUUUUACUUGCUUCUCAUGGGAAAUUAUAUAGGAAAUGUAUCCCAAAUGUUAUUUUAAGUAUAUUAAUGCAUUCUUUUAGCUUAUAAGGGAACUACCAUAGACUGUGCCCAAGUCAAGUAUAUUGCCGUGAAAUGGAAACAGUCCUUAUGCAAAAUCUGCAGGCCAGACAGAACAGAGUUGAGAAGAGAGGAAAAGGGACAAAUGCAUUUGACAAAUACUUUGCAAGUCAAAUCCCAUAGUUUGCCAAGAUCGAGAAGUGGCCCAGUUGGAAACAGAGGAAGAGAUUAUUGCAUUUCAGUUAAAAAAAAAAAAAAUAGAAAUCAUUAACAUUUAACUGGACCUUGGUAUUUUCUUUUCUCUGAAAGAAACUAAUUCAGUGGUCAUUUGUGGGUGCGAAGAACAGCAGAGACUCUCCCCUCCCCUUGUCCUAGAGGCAUUUAUCACUAAAAUUGCUCAAUUCUGAAAAGCCUUAGGGUUCCAGUUGGCCGUUACUGUAUGAGUACUAUUUUUACUAUCCACAACUAGAAGGUAGUUUUCUUUAUUGCCUAGAUGCAAUAUUCUUUCUGUAUAAGUAACUUUACAAUAAAGUUAGCCAAUGCUUACUCUGUCUAGUCUAGAAUUUUUCAUCGCUUUCCCAAAAAUAUUACUUCAAUUUUAGAAUGAUAAAAAUUCAAGAAAUUACUAACUCAUGACUAUACAUCAAAUAAAUACUUUCCCUUUCUGUGGGAAAGAAAUACAAAUGCACAAGUUGGUUUUGGGCAGACACAACUAUUUUUCCAAUAGAAAUAAACCACAAUGGAAGGCAAGUAAUUUUUCUAAAUAUUUAUAAGUAUCUUAAUUCAUUCAAAAUAUGGCAAUCAUGUGAUGAAAUGUCACCCCUCUAUGAAUCUGUUUCCAAAAUUAUCUGCACAUGUGAGGAAAACGCCAAUGCAUUUUAUUCUAACUCAGAUAAUCUUAUCUGAAAAGAAAGCCUGAUGCCAUUUAUAGAACCUGUGCUUCAUAAAGGACCUACCAUCAUUUCAGCUGAAUUUGAGAAGAGUAUAUUAUUAUAACAAUAUUGCCAGGGUCUUAAAACCUAGUAGAUGUGAAUGAUCAGCCAUGUAAAUAUGACUGGUACUGAAGGCCCUAACAUGGAACGCAAUAUCAUUCGAAUCCACUACAACAAUUAACAGAAAGAGAAUUCAAUAAAUAGUCCAACAAGAAGUCCUUGUGAAUCUUCCGCACAGAGGCUAAGAGGCUAUUUAUAGCAUCGAACUAGAAACCUCAUUAAACCAGUGAGAGCCUUUACUAUGAAUUUCUUUUUGUGGAGUUCUUCUGUUCAGUGACAGCAGGUUUUUUUCCAAGACAUUUUCCCUUUGUUUUUUUUCCUUUAAGUUUGCAUCUGUAGGCAGCUUACCAGUCAAUUCAGUGAAAAAUGAGAAAAAGCAGUUGUUUCAUCAAAUUGACUGGUUGGUUGUUAAAACAGUUGAUCCCGUGACCUCUUUACAUGCAGACACUGACUUUUUCUGUGAACCCGGGACAUGACCUCUGUUGUUUCAGCUAAAGCAAUCGGACUUGCUUUGGGGUCUGACUCAAAACAGCAUUGACAAGGUGGGAAGAGAAAAAACAUAUACAUACGUAUUUAUUCAUACGUAACACUGACUUGUACCACCCAUAAUAUGAUUGACUUUUAAAUAACCUUGGUAGAUUGAAAGACUGGUCAGAAAUAGGUAGAAUGAAAUUAAAUAAGGAAAAAAAGUAGAGCAAUCCCCUUGGAGUGUGUGGAGGAGGCAGAAUGAGUACAGAGUCCAAGCAAACAUGAUUAAAUUCUAAAGUAAGGAGCAUAAACAGCAGGGACUCACUGAAUUGGGGCUGAGGUAGUGUGGACCCCAGCAGCAGCUGCACCUGGGGAGCCCCAGCUAGGAGGGUCGUGGGGAAUCAUGGGAUCUCAGGGGUGACUUAAGAGAUUCUUAGAACAGAACAGGGAGUGCCCCAUUGUGGUGCAGUGGAAAUGAACCUAACUGGCAUCCAUCUGGAUGAAGGUUCAAUCCCUGGCCUUGCUCAGUGGGUCAGGGAUCCGGCUUGUGGUAAAUUGUGUAGGUCGCAGGUGCAGCUUGGAUCCCACGUUGCUGUAGUGGCUGAAGCAUGGAUUGGCAGCUGUAGCUCAUGUGGGAAAAUCUCAGACAACAAGUUUGCUUAUUAGAGAGCAGAAGGCCUCCUACAUUUUUAAGACUUUAUAUUUGUUAUGUCUUUGUUAUUUCACUUGACUUCAUGCCUACUUUUCUGGUAGAUGGGAGAGAUAGUCAUUUAUUCCAUUUUUGGAGAUGAAUCAGGUUGGUUCUGAGAAGUUAGGUGGCUUUCCCAAGGCCACUUGCUUAGGGUUGGGCUGCACAGAGAGUCUGUGCAGUCUGGGCUGAGAUCCUCUUCCUCUUGUGUCCAAGUUUUCUCUCCACCUUUUGUGUGGCCCCUGGCAACUCUUUCCUGAGUUUCAGCUCCUCCACCAGGCUCAUGGGGUUUCUGAGGUGGGCUCUCUGGAGGCAGAAGCUGGGACAGAACAUAACUCAUCCAGAGAGCGUGCUUCAUUUCAUGGGAAACGUGUCAACAGGUUUCCAUCCACCUGUAAAGUGUUACCAUGAUUAAGGUCUUUACAAAUAUAAUCAAAUUUCUAAAAAAUUUACCAAGUCUCUACUCAGUAGGGUUAGAUGGGACAGAGACACUGAUGAAAGAAAAUCUACACCCCAGGAAGAACUCACUGUCUAGAGUGAAUUUCAGAUGGGAAACAAAUAUAUUCUAUUAGGAGCAUAACAAUAAAAGUAAAAGGGACGCAAAGUUAGCACAAAUAAGUGAUUGAUUAAAUCUGUGGAGAGAGAGGGUCUUGAAGUUUUCAUGGAAGAGAUUAUUUCUGUCUGAUUCAGAAUGACAAGUCGAAAAUUUUCUGGAGGCAAGAUUGGUGAAAGAAACACAAGUAUUCUAGAUAGAGAAGCAGCAGCCUAGAGAAAAGAACUCAGAAAUGUAGUAUGGUUUGAACAAUAUGGAAUUGUGGAAUAUAUAUAUAUAUAGUCAUUGGAGGAGCAGAUCAAGCACUUCUAACCCCUGCACCAGAUCUCUAGACUACAGUGAGCUCAAAUGUCUUGCUUAAGAUUUUACAUUUCACUCCACACCUGUGGCUCAGUGGCUCUCAGACUUUAGCCUGCAUCAGAAUCACCUGGAAGGUUUGCUAACAUGCAGAUUUCUGGGUCCACUCCCAGAUUUUCUUAUUCUUCUGUAAGUCUGGGCUUGGGUCCAAGAAUUAGUUUCUACCACUUCCCAGGUGCUGCUGAUGCUGCUGAUCCUUGGGCCACCCUUGGAGACUUUCGGCCCAAGAAAACAGGCAAGGGGUGAGGCAAUUGACCCAGAGAUGAGCUGUGGUCAGGUGAAGUGUUCAGGUACGUGCCCAAGGCAGUGGUCAAGGGGAUGGGACAAGGUGUAACCCACGCUGUGGCAGCAGGAGGAAAGCAGAGCCUACGUGAGGACAGACUUGGCACUGGCUGUGACAGGUAAUAGGUUAUAGGGGAAGGGGAUCUCUGUCAUCUUACUAUCCUCUGGAGAAACACCCUGACCAACUCUUCCUUCUGUAAAUUGAAGUUUACAUGAAUGCCUUCUUCAUGAGGUCUUUGUGGAAAUCAAAGGGCUUAAACCCACAAGGAAAUUAGCAUCUAUAAGCUCAGCACAGUGAAGUAUUUAGCAAAUAGUAAUUAUUAUUAUGGGAGAGAGGGAAUCUGGGUUAACUCCAGGCAGUUUCUGGCUUUGAAGCCUAGGCUGCUUUGCUGGGCUUUUAUGGAUUAUUCCACACAGGUUUAUACUUCUGGUUCUUCAUUUAUGUCUGUCCUGCAUUCCAUUCAGCCCCCAAUUCCUACGCCAGGGUGCAUGUGGGAGGGGAAGAGGGGUGGCAGGAGUUGAAGCCAGGCCAGGAGCCAGCAGAGCCCAAGCUUUUUACUGAACAUUGUACAGAAAAAGAAGCGGGGGUAAACGUCCAUAAUUUUUAAAGUUGAUCUGUAGGCACCUCUUCCUGCUCUCCCAUCCUUCAUCCCUCUCACUGUAUGAAGAAAUCUUGUGACUUUUAAUCUAAUGUGUUCACAUCUUGUUUGUUCACGUGGUCUCUUGAGAAUCUGUUUGCGUGAAAAUGUGAGAGAUGGGUUUUUAAAGGAAGUGAACGUGACAAUGUCAGUGGCACACGUUAGAUUUCUUAGGCAAUCCUCCCUUAAAUGCAUUAAAAUACACACUGUGCAUUGAGAACUAGCUUGUAUCAUGAGUAAUCUAACUGAUGGAAAGCCGAUAUUCCCUUUUUUUGCUUUUUGGUUUUAUUUUUUUGUCUUUUUGCCUUUUUGAGGGCCGCCUCCCUGGGCAUAGAGGUUCCCAGGCUAGGGGUCCAAUCAGAGCUGUAGCUGCCGGCCUACGCCAGAGCCACAGCAAAGCGGGAUCCGAUCCGCGUCUGCAAACUACGCCAAGGCUCAUGGCAAUAUCUAGAUCCUUAACCCCCUGAGCAAGGCCAGGGAUCGAACCCGCAACCUCAUGGUUCCUAGUCAGAUUUGUUAACCACUGCACCACGACGGGAACUCCA
rnacentral:lncRNA from 1 species